AGCUAAACUAGUAAACUAGCUUAGAUUAGCUAGCAUGCCUUUAAUAAACUUGAGAUUUUAAUCACUCUUCCUUUUGUAAGUAUCGCAAUUUCUAUAAAGUUAUGUUGCCCUGUGCACCAUGUAGUAGUUUACUUUUGACAUGCUAAGAAUGCGUGUCGGUGUUUAACAGGUGAAAAUGUUCUUUGCUAGCUAGCAUUAGAGCUGGCCUAAUUAGAGCAUGUGCCUAAUAUGUAUACCUAAAUAAUCCACAGGUCUACACUAACAUUACUCAAACUGUAUGUCCAUUAAUGAAUGAUAUAGAAAUGACAUUACAGCUAGAGCUGGUUGAUAUGUGAAUUGUGAAAACAUGAGUAAGAAGUUUUCAUGAUACGUGGUAGUAUUUAAUAAAUGAGUUAAAAUAUUUUCAGAGUAUAAACGCACAAUGAUAUUUUUUUAAACAUUUCACACACUGUGCUCUACCAAAUCUAGUUGGAGAGGCCUAAUUACUUUUAUUACUGACAGUAUCUGCAAUAUGCUCCGAAAAAUUAUAUGGUAACAUUAAAUGUUUUGACAUCUUUUUUUUUUCUUUUCACAGACCUUUCAGAUCCCUCCUCACAUCCAUCUAUCUCUCUAUCCUUUAUAGCGACCCAACGGCACUUUUAAGAGCCACUCGUCUGUCUGUCUAUCCAUACAUCCAUUCAUCCAUCCAUAUAUCUGUCUGUCUGUCUUGGUGUUUAUCUGUCUACCUGUUUAUCUGUCUGCAUUGUCUGUGUGUGUGCAUCUGUUGUCUGUCUGUGUAUCUGUAGGUGUCAUAUUUUUGCCUUCAUUUACACCAUGGACUCUGAAGGAGACUCUGGUAAUAAAUUCCACAAGCUUCUUCAGGAAGCACAGAGACUUGCAGCAGAGCUCAAUCCAAAAUUGGCAAAGAAAAGAAGGUCGGCAAAACCCGUAUCUGGUGUUGUUAGUUGGAGACAGAGGGAUAAUUCAGGACAAAUUAUUCCAAAAUUUCCCCCAAAGACUUAUAACUCGACUACACGUAAAAGGAGCAGUUCUGAAGUGGCUGAACCAGUAUUUCAGCAGCCUGAGCCAACACCUUAUGAUAGUGCUCAAGAACUUAAUGCACUGCAAGACAUUCUCAGGGACAUUCCUCCACAAGAGAAGGGCACUGUGCCACUAAGCUGGGCUGAACGGCAAGCUCAAAGCUCAGAGAAGUGGAAUGCUUCUAGAUCAGCCAUGGUUAAAAACAUAUUUCUCGCAGAGCACACAGACACCUAUAUCUGUGACAUCUGCCUGCAAAACACAUCUGUUGUGAGGUGCAGAGAUUGUUUGCCAAGACAGUUCCUGUGCAGUUCCUGCGAUACACAGAUACAUCAGCACAUCCUCCAUAACCGAGAAGCCAUGUUUGAGGGAUUCUAUCAACCCUUAGCCCCAAACAUGAUCAUUCAACUUCAAAAUGAUGGGUCACACCAGAUAAAGCAUGAAGUUCGACUGUUGCCGGUUCGUCUACCUCAACAGUGUACCUGUUCUCCCAGUCAGCUAAAGCUGACCUGUGGCAAAGAGGUCAUCCUUGUUGGAAUUAAUGGACGGUACCAACUAAAUUUGCCAACAUUGAGCUGUUCUCAGUGCAUGAAAAGCUGGACCACUGGACUUGAUGAACUAGUACAAUGUGGAUAUUGGCCUGCUACCAUCAACCACCAGACCAUCUUCCAUGUAGACCUGUUCCAGUCUUUCCAGGAUCUGAAGCAGCUGGCUCCUGGGCUUUCUCGUCAAGCAUUUAUUGGAAUGCUUGAUGAAAGAACAAAGUAUUUUGGCAGAACCGGAAAAAUAUGUGGUGACACAUUCCAGCGGUCAUUUCUGGAGUGGUGCUACGCGCAGCAUGAGGUGGACAAACUGUUGGAAGUUGAGCCCUUCCGGUGUACAGCAUGUUCACCACAAAUGCAUGCUGUAUCAGUGGAUGGAAAUAGAAAAUUAUACCGAUUUAAGAAUGCAUCAGGAAGUGCCACAAAGGGACUUUUUGAUGGCACCUUCCUGGCCAGAGAUGAGGAGGUGUCAAGUUUUGUUGCUCAAAUCCAGCAGGCAACCAAACAUACUCCUGGGAAAGGAAUGUGCGGAUCAUCACAAUGGACAGCUGCAAAAGAGCAUUCUGGGAAAUCUGCCUCAAAAAUUGAUGAGGAGGGGCUGGAAAUCGCUGUGUGCCGGCAUGGGGUGCUUUUGAGAGCACUGAAUAUGUUCAGAGGGGAGAUUUAUGCUUACCCUCUGUAUCUGCAGAAGGAACUGUCCCCCUCAAAUGUUUCCUUUUUCUGUUCAGAUGUGGCAUGCAAGUAUUAUCCGUAUUUGGAAAAGGUCUCCAAUAAGUGCUCUGAACUGCAGGGACUAUUGGAGAUGCAUCCACUUCUUUCAGUGAUGCAUGCCAAAGCACACUCCUGGACAUGUGAGUUGAAAUGGGGUGGACGCAAUCAAGAAGGCGCUGGCAAUACCAUUGGUGAGGAAGUGGAGCAG
ensembl:lncRNA